rnacentral:rRNA from 1 species
AGAAUCAACGCUGGCGGCGUGCCUAACACAUGCAAGUCGAACGAGAACGGGUAGCAAUACCUUAGUAAAGUGGCGCACGGGUGAGUAACACGUGACUAACCUACCCUGGAGUGGGGGAUAACUGAGAGAAAUCUUAGCUAAUACCGCAUAACACCUACGGGUCAAAGGAGCAAUUCGCUUCAGGAGGGGGUCGCGGCAGAUUAGAUAGUUGGCGGGGUAAUGGCCCACCAGUCAGUGAUCU